rnacentral:rRNA from 1 species
AUAUCAAUAAGCGGAGGAAAAGAAACUAACAAGGAUUCCCCUAGUAACUGCGAGUGAAGCGGGAAAAGCUCAAAUUUAAAAUCUGAUGGUCUUUGGCCGUCCGAGUUGUAAUUUAGAGAAGCGUUUUCCGCGCUGGACCGUGCACAAGUCUCCUGGAAUGGAGCGUCAUAGAGGGUGAGAAUCCCGUCUUUGGCACGGAUACCCCAGGGCUUUUGUGAUGCGCUCUCGAAGAGUCGAGUUGUUUGGGAAUGCAGCUCAAAAUGGGUGGUGAACUCCAUCUAAAGCUAAAUAUUGGCGAGAGACCGAUAGCGAACAAGUACCGUGAGGGAAAGAUGAAAAGCACUUUGGAAAGAGAGUGAAACAGUACGUGAAAUUGUUGAAAGGGAAACGCUUGGAGUCAGUCGCGUCGGCCGAGACUCAGCCUCGCCCUCGGCUUGGUGUACUUCUCGGCUGACGGGCCAGCAUCAAUUUUGCCCCUCGGAUAAUGGCAGGGGAAAGGUGGCACCUUUGCGGGUGUGUUAUAGUCUCCCGUCGCAUGCGAGGGGUGGGAUUGAGGAACUCAGCACGCGCCUCUCGGCUCGGGGCUUCGGCCCACGUUACGUGCUUAGGAUGUUGGCGUAAUGGCUCUAAACGA